UUUUUACGAAGAGUUUGAUCCUGGCUCAGGGUUAACGCUGGCGGUAUGUCUAAUACAUGCAAGUCGAGCGCCCCCACCGUGUUUUCAACAGAAUCAAGUAAAGCUUGAUUCCAUUUUAGUAGAAGUUGAAGAUAGGGUGGGGGAGCGGCGAACGGCUGAGUAAUACGUUGGAACCUGCCCUAAACUCAGGGAUACCUCGCAGAAAUGCGAGUUAAUACCGGAUAGUCCCGCAAGGGUAAAGAUUUUUCGGUUUAGGAGGGGCCUGCGUCCUAUCAGCUAGUUGGUGAGGUAAUGGCUUACCAAGGCUAUGACGGGUAGCUGGUCUGAGAGGAUGACCAGCCAGAAUGGAACUGAGAUACGGUCCAUACUCCUACGGGAGGCAGCAGUAAAGAAUAUUUCGCAAUGGAGGAAACUCUGACGAAGCGAUACCGCGUGAGCGAAGAAUGCCGAAAGGUUGUAAAGCUCUUUUCUGGGGGAAUAAUUUUGAAUGUACCCCAGGAAUAAGCACCUGCUAACUACGUGCCAGCAGCAGCGGUAAUACGUAGGGUGCGAGCGUUACCCGGAAUUAUUGGGCGUAAAGCGUCCGCAGGUGGUUUGUUAAGUUAGGUAUUAAAUCUUGAAGCUCAACUUCAAGGCUGUAUCUAAAACUGGCAUACUAGAGUUUUUCAUAGGUACGUGGAAUUCUGUGUGUAGGGGUAAAAUCCGUAGAUACACAGAGGAACACCAAAAGCGAAGGCAGCGUACUAGGAAACAACUGACACUCAUGGACGAAAGCGUGGGGAGCGAACGGGAUUAGAUACCCCGGUAGUCCACGCCCUAAACUAUGGAUACUAGGUGUUGGAGGAUUCGACCCCUUCAGUGCCAAAGCUAACGCAUUAAGUAUCCCGCCUGGGAACUACGAACGCAAGUUUAAAACUCAAAGGAAUAGACGGGGACCCACACAAGCGGUGGAGCAUCUGGCUCAAUUCGAUAGUAAACGAGGAACCUUACCUAGGUUUGAAAUCUCGGGAACCUGGCGGAAACGCUGGGGUGCCUUUUGGAACCCGAAGACAGGUGUUGCAUGGUUGUCGUCAGCUCGUGCCUUGAGGUGUUCGGUUAAGUCCGUAAACGAGCGCAACCCAUGUUUCGUGUUGUUUUUUCACGAGAGACUGCCCCGCACAACGGGGAGGAAGGUAUGGAUGACGUCAAAUCCGCAUGGCCUUUAUAUCUAGGGCUGCACAGGUGCUACAAUGGUCGGUACAGCGGGUAGCAAUUUCGCAAGAAGGAGCCAAUCCCUAAAACCGAUCUAAGUUCGGAUUGAGGGCUGCAAUUCGCCCUCAUGAAGUUGGAAUCGCUAGUAACCGCGUAUCAGCAAUGGCGCGGUGAAUAUGUUCCUGGGUCUUGUACUCACCGCCCGUCACGUCAUGAAAGAUGGGGGCACCCGAAUUACCCUUACUCGCUUCGGCGAGGGGGUCCUAAGGUGAAACCAUUGAUUGGGACGAAGUCGUAACAAGGUAUCCGCAGGAGAACCUGCGGAUGGAUCACCUCCUUU
rnacentral:rRNA from 1 species